AGAGUUUGAUCAUGGCUCAGGACGAACGCUGGCGGUAUGCUUAACACAUGCAAGUCGAACGAGACAAAAGAGAAGUGCUUGCACGGAUCUUUUAGAAAGUGGCGAACGGGUGAGUAACGCGUGGGUAACCUACCCUAUGGAAAGGAAUAGCCUCGGGAAACUGGGAGUAAUGCCUUAUAAGAUAUAUUUGUCGCAUGGCAGAUGUAUUAAACGCUCCGGUGCCAUAGGAUGGACCCGCGUCCCAUUAGCUAGUUGGUGAGAUAACAGCUCACCAAGGCGACGAUGGGUAACCGGUCUGAGAGGGCGAACGGUCACACUGGAACUGAGACACGGUCCAGACUCCUACGGGAGGCAGCAGUGGGGAAUAUUGCGCAAUGGGGGAAACCCUGACGCAGCAAUACCGCGUGAGUGAAGAAGGUUUUCGGAUCGUAAAGCUCUGUUAUUGGGGAAGAAAAAAAGACGGUACCCAAGAAGAAAGUCCCGGCUAACUACGUGCCAGCAGCCGCGGUAAUACGUAGGGGACAAGCGUUGUCCGGAUUUACUGGGCGUAAAGGGCACGCAGGCGGUUUUUUAAGUCAGAUGUGAAAGGUACCGGCUCAACCGGUGACAUGCAUUUGAAACUGAAAGACUUGAGUAUUGGAGAGGCAAGUGGAAUUCCUAGUGUAGCGGUGAAAUGCGUAGAUAUUAGAGGAACACCGGUGGCGAAAGCGGCUUGCUGGACAAAUACUGACGCCGAGGUGCGAAAGCGUGGGGAGCAAACAGGAUUAGAUACCCUGGUAGUCCACGCCGUAACGAUGAGUGCUAGGUGGUUGGGGGAGACUCAGUGCCGCAGCUAACGCAUA
rnacentral:rRNA from 1 species